CGUGAAAUUCACGAAAAUGUGAAAAAUAUUUUGAUCAAAGCUGUACAGAUACAGUCUGACGGUGAACUUACUCUUCCCGUAAAUUGAAGAUUAUGGUAAACAAUACUGAUGACUGAUAAGUAAUCAAAAGAUAGUCCAUCUAAAGAACUUAGGAUUAAAUAUUUUCCUCAAAUGAAUGUAACAGUUUGAAAGACUGAUGUUCGGGAUUUGAUCGAAAAUAAUCAUAAUCAUAAUGAUACCGAGAACACUGUUUCAGAGGAAAUAGAAAAUGUGGCUGACAAGAUUACCCCUCCGAACAAUAUUACUGCUACUGCCACUACUAAUGCUUUUCAUAAUUACAACAUCAUUUCGACACCAGUGAUUCGGAUGGGAUGGAAGACAGUGAUAGAUAGCAGUUACACGGAUUUCCCUUUCGAUGACUGCAUAGACGGACGUGGCAUGGUACCGGAUCCGUCCUUGGCAACGCGCCGCCACAUAUAAUACGUGUCGUACAAUGAUGGUGGCAGUUAAGGAGAAAUUCCGUAUAGUCCUCGUUGACAUCGUUCUGACAAAAUCGAUCGCAACAUCUAUGGCCGCAAAAAAAGGAUCGACCAAAUGCAAAACUGAAGAAUACUAAAAUGAACAGUACUAUGAUCCAGACCUCGUUAAAACGAAAGUCCUUAUCGAUUCUAAGGUUUGAAGGUGGUACCUAAAAAUGAUAAUCAAGGUCGCAAAUACUAUGAAUUUUAAUUCAUUUUCAUGUAUGAAAUUCCAAACGGGAAAUACUGGCUAAAGAAUUGAAACAAGAACGUACAGCAAAAAAAAAACGUACCUAAAGAGAAACACUGUUUCAGAGGAAAUAGAAAAUGUGCCUGCAACUACUUUGGAUGGGAUGUUGGUAGUUUUAGGAAGAGAAGUAACCGAUUUGAUCCCAGCUGAAAGGCUUACCUGAAAGUGCCCACAAUGUUUAUCACAUACAUUUUUUACAAUAAAAUAAAUUACAUUUCAGGAUCACCUAUAUUAAUUUCUAUUUCACAAGUAAUACAAUCUAAACAUUCCGCACACUGUAACGACUAAUGAUUGAUCCCAUUUUUAUAUUGUAUUAAUUCAUUGUUCUAAUACCGAAAUGUUUAAGAAAUUGUUGGAUUGCCCACAUAUGUUAAUUUUUUCUUUCAAUUUGUAUGUAGUUUUAAGUUUUAGUUUUAACGAUAUAUAUUAUUAACUUUUGAUAUCACUGAUAAUAUCGAAGAUGAAAUUGGACAUUUAGAAACCUGCCAGACUGCUACAGCUGUAAAUUUAACUGACAUACAUUUUAUAGAAAAAUCUG